rnacentral:rRNA from 1 species
CCUACGGGAGGCAGCAGUGGGGAAUAUUGGGCAAUGGGCGGAACCCUGACCCAGCGACGCCGCGUGAGGGAAGAAGUAUUUCGGGAUGUAAACCUCUAUCAGCAGGGAAGAAAGAAAUGACGGUACCUGACUAAUAAGCCCCGGCUAACUACGUGCCAGCAGCCGCGGUAAUACGUAGGGGGCAAGCGUUAUCCGGCUUUACUGGGUGUAAAGGGAGUGUAGGCGGCAAUGCAAGUCUGAAGUGAAAGUCGAGGGCCCAACCCCCGGACUGCGUUGGAAACUGUAUGGCUGGAGUGCAGGAGAGGUAAGUGGAAUUCCUAGUGUAGCGGUGAAAUGCGUAGAUAUUAGGAGGAACACCAGUGGCGAAGGCGGCUUACUGGACUGUAACUGACGUUGAGGCUCGAAAGCGUGGGGAGCAAACAGGAUUAGAUACCCCAGUAGUC